GCCUAUUAUUUUAUAAUGAAAAUUAUAAAAUUAUAGUUUUCUCAGAUUUUUUGGAGGGUGAUAUCGUCAUUUAUUUUGGUGGGAACCACCUGAGGAAUCAGUCCAGAAAAACUGAAAUCAGGAUCUCCUCCUGACAGCCAAUCAGAUUCGUCUCAGCAGUGGAUCAACACCAGCGAACCUCACGUUUACCACGUGUGUGUGUCAGAGUGUGUGUUAAGUGAACGUCAGCUUCAUGAUCACUCAUCCCACAGCCGAAAGCAUCAUCACCCAACACACACACACACACACACACACACACACACACACACACACACACACACAGACAGCGAGUCGGCAAGCAGCAAGCUAGCGCUUAAAGCAAAACUGGGCUUCCAUGGUCAUCCAUUAUCACUGACAAGCUAAAUGUACCAUGCUACGCCAUAUGGUACAGAGACGGAGCGAGCCAGAGAGGAGGGCGAACGAGGCUACCGUCAGGGGGAGAGAGAGAGAGAGCGAGGAAGAGGAGGGAGGAUGUAGAGCGUUACGACUGAGAAAAGAAAACAACCCAGAAAGAGAGAGAGAGAGCGCCAGCUUCACAACAAAGACGGAGGCUGUGCCAUGCUGCUGCAGAGGGGGCAGCGCCACGUUGGCAAAGCCCAGGGGGCAACCGCUAUCUGCUGCCAACACUUCACACACACACACACACACACCGACCCCCGCACACACACACACACACACACACACACAGAGAACAGAUCUGCUUUAUGUGGCCUCAUGUUCACCACUCCACUAAUAUAAAAAGCAACAUUAAAGUCGAUCCAAUCAGAAGCUUUGCAGGCUGUGAAACCCUGAGUCCAACAAGAUAAAUAUUAUCAUCAUUACAGGUUCUCCAGGUUCUCCAGGUUCUGGUUCCGGCCCGUCGGGCUGCUUUCUGACCAGCCGCUGCUUCAGGGUGAUGCUGCCCCCCUCUGUUCCAGACCCGUACCGGUCCUGACCGGAGAGACGGGCCGGGGAACCGCGACCCGACGGCUGAAGGAUCCGGAUCGCUGAGCAGAGCAGAAGCAGCUGAAAGCAGCACAUUGGGACAGCGUGGUGCCAAAGGGGAAAACCGAGGCACGACACCCAGCCGCGGUGAUGAGCUCCUGGGGUGGAGAAGGACACCGAGAGGAGGAUACGGAAAUCAGAAGAGGACAGAAACACUCAACGUUAACGACUCAAAAACACAAGAAAUGGAGGAAAGUGACGACUCAGGUUGGAAAUGAAGAAAACAAGAUGGAAGAGAAAAACAGAAAUGUUUCAGAGUGAGAGCGACGAAAAGAGAGACAGAUAUAUGUAGCUCUAAAUAAAGUGUCCAGAUGUGACCUCCUCAGAGGGGGUCCGGCCUCAUGGCUCAACACUCAUUAAUAAGGUCGCACAGAGGUCAGACAGACGGCGUUUCAGCACCAACAGCAGGAGGAGAGCCACGUCGUCAGGUACAUAAGCAGCUUCUCCUUUUGUUUCCUGCCUUCGCUUUCUACUUUAAAAUAUGAAAUAACAGUCAGAACAAAUGAGAACGUAGGUUUCAAUCAGCCUGUAGCCAGCAAAAGAAACAAAGCUGGAAUUACGGAACAUCAUUGAUAUCAACAAUCCACAAACUAUUUUAUUGACCAAUUUUUUCUCAACAAAAAUUGAUGACAAACUGUGUAACGCUCUGACUGUUGGACGAACAAAUCAGAUUUCUUCUGAAACCAAACAGAGUCAAACUAGCAGCUUUUCAGAAUAAAGCUAACAGAAUAACUAACAAGCUUUAAGGAUGACUCAAAGUCCACCUUAAAUCUGCACAGUCAAGCUAGCAGCUUACUGACUCAAACUAACAAUAUCUGAGAGCUAAGCUAACAGCUACCAUGACCUUAAACAGUAGCUCAUUAUGCUAAAAACCAUUGACAACUAAGCUAACAUCCACUUAGAAAUGGGUAACAACUACUGAGAGUUACGCUAACAAUAAUCGUUAGUUGUUAAAGACAGCCAACCGUUAAACACACGCCAGCUACUCAGAAUAAUUUAACAGCUAACACCUACUGGGAGCUAAGCUAUAAACGAUUCAGAAUCAUGCUAACAGCAAAUCAAAAUCAAGCUAAUAGCUUAUUAGAGUAAAAAAUACAGAAAAACAAGACAAGUUGAGCAAACAUUUGAUAUAUUUAACCAUUAUUUUGUGAGCUGAAACCACUGAACCUCUGUUUUGUUUUGUGACAGUUAGUGUGCGUGUUGGUGUUUAUAUGGGGUCAUGGUCAUGAUGCUGGUGUUAAACACCCUAAAGUAUAAGAAAUGUCAACCACUUCACUGAAAACUCACAGAUUUAAACCACAGAGAAGUCACCGCUGACUCAAUGCCCGGCGUGGCUGAACAGAAACAUCACCUCACUCACACACAUCCUCUCAUUGCUAGAUCACCGAACGUGUGUGUGGAGCUGCAGAUUAAUCUAGUGGGGUCGCUCAGAUGACACUAAUCCCUCCGCUGAUUAUCUAGAGCAUAACAUCACUCUAAUCUGCACGGGGGGUCGGUUUAAAGACGACACACAAGGUUACAAAGGAGGGAGGGGGGCAGAAAGACAGCUUCACACUUAACAUGUUCAGGUUGGGUUUAUUUAACUCUGAACUGUGGCUUCCUUUUAGGGUUUACUCUGCGUAUAAUCCAAACAGACAACUGUCAUUUACAACUAAAUGAAAGGGAUUAUCAAAGGCAAUAGUUCAAACACAGAAAUAACUCCAGAGCGAUGUUCACAAUAGACGAUAAAACUGCAAAAUCCCUUGGUUUAGUUUUACCAGAGAGCUUUCAGAGCUGUGGAACAAAUCAUUUAUUUUAUCCGCCGCAAAAUUCACCAAACGAUAAACUGUAAAUGAGGUCAGAAAUGUGUGAAAUUAAAAAUCAAAAACACAAACAUAAAUUGACCCCAAUGGACUUAGGGAUAAUUUGUUUAGCUUUCUUAGUAUUUAUAGCGAUUUUUAGCUAGUUUACAGUAGUUCUUUACAUUUAGCAUGCUACAAACAACAUGUCUGUUAAGCCAGGGCUCCUAAUCCAGGUUAUUUGGUAGCAAAACAAUAACUAACUUACAGUAUUUCUUUUUUUAUUAUUAUCUUAGUGUUUAUAUUGACCGGCUUCUCUCUGCCUGUGACUUUCAAGUCGCUCUUCUUGUUCACGUGAGGCGCUAAAAAUAAACCCAACAAGCUAGCAAAAUGAGUAAAAACAAAGUUUUUCUUUACAAUAGGGAAGGAGACAGAAGAGCAGCACAUUUAACAGACAAAACCAGGAGGUUACCAUAGCAACCAGAGAGCGUUAGAGGGCAGAGUGGACAAUACUCAUGUUGAAUUGCUAGCAUAAUGCUACAGGAUGAUGCUAAUAAGGUUGAUAAUCACUAUGGGUUGGCAUUUAUGUAUCGUUUUAUCUUGUUGUUUUAAUAUUAAUAAAGGAAAGUCUGUGGAAA